rnacentral:tRNA from 1 species
CGGGAGAUGUCAGAGUGGUCGAAUGUGCCGGUUUUGAAAACCGGUGAGGGUCACACCUCCGGGAGUUCGAAUCUCCCUCUCCCGGCCA